rnacentral:rRNA from 1 species
UGUGAACUGCAGGACACAUGAACACCGAUACGUUGAACGCAUAUUGCGCAUCGCACGACACAGUGCGAUGUACACAUUUUUGAGUGCCCAUCCUCACCGCAUAGCCAACUAUCGGGGAACGCGCCAUGCGCUUCCCGAUGCAUUAUGAUGCGUUGCCCGGCCCCGGCUGGUCAAUCAUUGAAAGACUGUGUGCGUAGGAGGGGCCGACCGGAGCGUCCGCUUUCGCGAGUGUCUUCCGUCACGGCUGAGCCACCUUACGACUCUCACCAACACGAGAUACGAUGGUGCAGAACAAAUCCAUAUCGAACGAAACUACGCGUUCGGUGGCUCGCGAGUGCUGUUGACGAUAGAGAGUUAGAGGAGAAGACACAGCAGGCAGAGAGACCGCGCAUAUCGCUGGAGAGCGCGAACGCACCGGCCGGCGUUACCACAACAUGACACACGAAAUCUAUAGUGGGCCUCAAAUAAUGUGUGACUACCCCCUAAAUUUAAGCAU